AUGGAGGAGCCCCCGCCGGCGGAGCCUCGGUCGCAGCGGUUCGUGCUGUGGCUGCACGGGCUGGGGGACAGCGGCCGCGCAAACGAGCCGGUGGCCGGGUACGCCUUUGCCGGCGCCCGCUGGGCCUUCCCCACGGCGCCCACCGCGGCCGUCAGAUGCAACCGUGGCAUGUUGAUGCCGUCGUGGUUCGACAUCCACGACACGCCCAUCACCUCCAAAUCCGUGAGGGGCGAGGCGGACGUGCUGAGGUCCGUGGAGAGCGUGCACGCCAUGAUCGACCGGGAGAUAUCCGCCGGAACAAGGCCGGAGGACGUCUUUGUGUUCGGGCUCAGCCAGGGAGGCGCGCUGAGCAUCGCGAGCGUGCUGCUGUACCCCAAGACGCUGGGCGGCUGCGCGGUCUUCAGCGGCUUCCUCCCGUUCGGUGCAUCCUUCGCGUCCAGGGUGACGGCCGAGGCCAAGAAGACGCCGGUGCUGUGGGUGCACGGGCGAGCAGACUUCCUGGUCCCGAUCGAGGCCGGCAAAGACGGGACCAAGUUCCUGCGGGGACGGCUCGGGAUGAGAUGCGAGUUCAAGGUGUACGACGGGCUCGGCCACGAGCUGGCGCCCUACGAGCUCCAGUACUGCGAGCGCUGGGCCGACGGCGGGGGUGGUGGCUCCAACGACGACCCAAGGACAAGAAGCGUGGACCGUGGCGUCCCGAGGACCAGGCGCUCCUGCAGCUGCGGAUUCGGCUUCUUCUCUUGGUCGUAA
rnacentral:rRNA from 1 species